CCUGGGACUUGCGUCCCAGGCUAUCGCAUGUCGUCGCUUCGCGAUU
rnacentral:sRNA from 1 species